AUAGCUAUUUUGUGUUUAUUCUCGGCCAGAUGGGUUGCUUGAGUGGUUGUUUCACCUGUCAUGCCUUUUAAGCUUCUCCAGCAUUUUUUUUCUGUUCAAGUGAAGUUGGGUAUUAGUUAAAUUAAAGGGAUGGGAAGAUACUGUUACCAUAGUCUCAAGUAACAUGCACCAUUGGAACGCCCCUGAGAAAGCUGACAUAUUGGUUUUUACAUUUACUCAUCCAAAACUAGUUGUCGAUAGAGAAAGCACGUUAUAAGAAGUUGCAUUUUAUGAUACCUAAUGACACCAGCUCUGCAAUGGAUUUGUUGGCUAUGGGUGGAUGUCGUCUGAUAUUGAUAUAUGGGUGGAUGUCGUCUGAUAUUGAUAUAUGGGUGGAUGUAGUUGGGAGAAAGAAAGGUAGAAUAUUUAGUCUUGGAUCUAUAUCCAAAACAUUGAAUCCAAAUCAGGC